UACGUAGGGGGCAAGCGUUGUCCGGAAUCAUUGGGCGUAAAGCGCGCGUAGGUGGCCUCAUAAGUCCGCUGUGAAAGUCCCAAGGCUCAACCUUGGAAAGCCGGUGGAUACUGUGAGGCUAGAGUACGGAAGAGGCGAGUGGAAUUCCUGGUGUAGCGGUGGAAUGCGCAGAUAUCAGGAGGAACACCAAUAGCGAAGGCAGCUCGCUGGGACGUUACUGACACUGAGGCGCGAAAGCGUGGGGAGCGAACAGG
rnacentral:rRNA from 1 species